CGACUUGGAGGUUGUUCCCUUGAGGAGUGGCUUCCGGAGCUAACGCGUUAAGUCGACCGCCUGGGGAGUACGGCCGCAAGGUUAAAACUCAAAUGAAUUGACGGGGGCCCGCACAAGCGGUGGAGCAUGUGGUUUAAUUCGAUGCAACGCGAAGAACCUUACCUACUCUUGACAUCCAGAGAACUUUCCAGAGAUGGAUUGGUGCCUUCGGGAACUCUGAGACAGGUGCUGCAUGGCUGUCGUCAGCUCGUGUUGUGAAAUGUUGGGUUAAGUCCCGCAACGAGCGCAACCCUUAUCCUUUGUUGCCAGCGAUUCGGUCGGGAACUCAAAGGAGACUGCCGGUGAUAAACCGGAGGAAGGUGGGGAUGACGUCAAGUCAUCAUGGCCCUUACGAGUAGGGCUACACACGUGCUACAAUGGCGCAUACAAAGAGAAGCGACCUCGCGAGAGCAAGCGGACCUCACAAAGUGCGUCGUAGUCCGGAUCGGAGUCUGCAACUCGACUCCGUGAAGUCGGAAUCGCUAGUAAUCGUGGAUCAGAAUGCCACGGUGAAUACGUUCCCGGGCCUUGUACACACCGCCCGUCACACCAUGGGAGUGGGUUGCAAAAGAAGUAGGUAGCUUAACCUUCGGGAGGGCGCUUACCACUUUGUGAUUCAUGACUGGGGUGAAGUCGUAACAAGGUACC
rnacentral:rRNA from 1 species